CCACGCCGUAAACGAUGAGUGCUAAGUGUUGGAGUCAUAAGACUUCAGUGCUGCAGCUAACGCAUUAAGCACUCCGCCUGGGGAGUACGGUCGCAAGACUGAAACUCAAAGGAAUUGACGGGGACCCGCACAAGCGGUGGAGUAUGUGGUUUAAUUCGAAGCAACGCGAAGAACCUUACCAAGUCUUGACAUACAGUGAAGAUAUAAGAGAUUAUAUUGUUUUUACCUAUGGUAAAACACUGAUACAGGUGGUGCAUGGUUGU
rnacentral:rRNA from 1 species